CUUAUGGGGCAAGAUUUGUUUCAGUGGAGCUUUGGUGCUCACUGAGUCUGCCCUCUGAGUGUGUCCUU
rnacentral:pre_miRNA from 1 species